GGCCAGGUAGCUCAGUCGGUAGAGCAACGGACUGAAAAUCCGUGUGUGGUCAGUUCGAUUCUGACCCUGGCCA
rnacentral:tRNA from 1 species